AUGACUGUUGAGUCAGAAGAGUCUUAAUUUCAGAAGAUCCCAAAUCUCCCCAAACCACCUGCCUGUGAAAAAGAAAAAUCGAAGGAUUUCUAGUUGUUUUAUUCGAAGGUUAAAAUGUCAUGGGCAAGUAUCGGGAAAAAGCAGUAACUACCAAAACUAUCCAAAAAUCAAGAUACCAUCUGACCCAGGGAUCCAUCUGUAAUCUUCUGGACAACCAUGUGUUUCCCGAAAAAGAGGAACAUACAUGUCUGUGUCUAUUUGCAUUUCCCCGGACAAGAACCUGAAGGGAUUUACUCCACUAACUAUCCUGCUGAGGUCAAGACAAAGUCCUGCUCUGUCGCCCAGGCUAGAGUGCAGUGGCAUGACCCUUGGUCCAUUGCAACCUCCACCUCUCAGGUUCAAGUGAAUCGAGUGCCUCAGCCUCCCAAGUAGCCCGGAUACCAGUCAUGUGCCACCACUGGCUAAUUUUUGUAAGGGCAUCUUUGGUACCAUAAGUUUAUGGAAAUAUUUUCCUAUGUUAUUGUGUAAAAGCUUUACUCUUUGCCUUUUACAUUUGAUUUAUAACCCACCUGUACUCAAUUCUUGCAUAUUAUGUGAAUUAAGAAUAAAGAUUAAUUUUUACAUGACUACCUAAAUGCC
rnacentral:lncRNA from 13 species